GGGGAAUUAGCUCAGUUGAUAGAGCGCCUGACUUGCACUCAGGAGGUCGUGGGUUUGACUCCCAUAUUCUCCACCA
rnacentral:tRNA from 1 species